CAUGCAAGUCGAACGGAACUGUUUUGAAAGAUUUCUUCGGAAUGAAUUUGAUUUAGUUUAGUGGCGGACGGGUGAGUAACGCGUGAGUAACCUGCCUUCAAGAGGGGGAUAACAUUCUGAAAAGAAUGCUAAUACCGCAUGACAUAUCGGAACCACAUGAUUCUGAUAUCAAAGAUUUUAUCGCUUGAAGAUGGACUCGCGUCCGAUUAGUUAGUUGGUGAGGUAACGGCUCACCAAGACCGCGAUCGGUAGCCGGACUGAGAGGUUGAACGGCCGCAUUGGGGCUGAGACACGGCCCAGACUCCUACGGGAGGCAGCAGUGGGGGAUAUUGCGCAAUGGGGGCAACCCUGACGCAGCAACGCCGCGUGAAGGAUGAAGGUUUUCGGAUUGUAAACUUCUUUUAUUAAGGACGAAAAAUGACGGUACUUAAUGAAUAAGCUCCGGCUAACUACGUGCCAGCAGCCGCGGUAAUACGUAGGGAGCAAGCGUUGUCCGGAUUUACUGGGUGUAAAGGGUGCGUAGGCGGCUUUGCAAGUCAGAUGUGAAAUCUAUGGGCUCAACCCAUAAACUGCAUUUGAAACUGUAGAGCUUGAGUGAAGUAGAGGCAGGCGGAAUUCCCCGUGUAGCGGUGAAAUGCGUAGAGAUGGGGAGGAACACCAGUGGCGAAGGCGGCCUGCUGGGCUUUAACUGACGCUGAGGCACGAAAGCGUGGGUAGCAAACAGGAUUAGAUACCCUGGUAGUCCACGCUGUAAACGAUGAUUACUAGGUGUGGGGGGUCUGACCCCUUCCGUGCCGGAGUUAACACAAUAAGUAAUCCACCUGGGGAGUACGGCCGCAAGGUUGAAACUCAAAGGAAUUGAC
rnacentral:rRNA from 1 species